rfam:Callithrix jacchus chromosome 1, whole genome shotgun sequence
GCCAGGUGCGGUGGUGCAUGCCUGUCCCAAGCCUACUAGGGAGGCUGAGGCUGGAGGAGUGCCUGAGUCCAGGAGUUCUGGGCUGUAGUGAGCUAUGCCAGUCGGGUGUCCGCACUAAGUUUGGCAUCAAUAUAGUGACCUCACAGGAGUAGGGGACCACCAGGUUGUUUAAGGAGGGGUGAACGGUCGGAAACAGACAGGUCAAAACUCCUGUGCCAAUGAGUAGUGGGAUUUCGCCUGUGAAUAGCCACUGCACUUCAGCCUGGGCGACAUAGCAAGACCCCGUCUCUA